UACAGAGGGUGCGAGCGUUGUUCGGAAUUACUGGGCGUAAAGCGCGCGCAGGCGGCUUUUUAAGUCCGUCGGUGAAAUGCCGGGGCUCAACCCCGAGCGUGCCGAGGAUACUGGAAGGCUGGAGACACGUAGAGGCAAGCGGAAUUCCGGGUGUAGCGGUGGAAUGCGUAGAGAUCCGGAAGAACACCGGAGGCGAAGGCGGCUUGCUGGGCGUGAUCUGACGCUGAGGCGCGAAAGCGUGGGGAGCGAACAGG
rnacentral:rRNA from 1 species